CGAUUACUAAUGUACAGGAGCAGCAGAAAUAAGCAAUAUAUCGAUAAUAAAGCAUAUCAUUGCCUGUCAAUUACAGGAGAAAAAAAAGAAGAUUAGAUGAGUUAUACCACUCCUAACCAGCAACUUUGGGUCAUUGAUCUAUAAACCACAGUAGCAGCAAAGAGAUCACAGAUGAUUAAUUGUCCUGCGUUAUAGGUGAUAGAGAUCAUACAGUUUAAGCACACAUUUAACAAACCAAAUCAUUUAUGCAUUGAGACGAUGAACGAAGACAAAUAAUGCCUUACUUG
rnacentral:lncRNA from 1 species